AAGGGGCAACUGACAAGUUUUGAGUCUGACCCAGAAAAAGCAGGGUGUGGUUCUCCAUCUUUUGCAUUCUGAGAAACCAACAUUUCUCAACAUGGCACCCAGUGAGUGAAAACUUCACAUAUUCCUGAGAAAUGUGG